rnacentral:lncRNA from 10 species
GCAGUUUGAUCUCAGACUGCUGUGCUAGCAAUCAGCGAGACUCCCUGGGCGUAGGACCCUCCGAGCCAGGUGUGGGAAAUAAUCUCCUGGUGCACCGUUUCCUAAGCCCGUCGGAAAAGCGCAGUAUUUGGGUGGGAGUGGCCCGAUUUUCCAGGUGCCCUCCUUUCCUUGACCAGGAAAGGGAACUCCCUGACCCCUUACGCUUCCCAAGUGAGGCAAUGCCUCGCCCUGCUUCGGCUGGCGCACGGUGCCCUGCACCCACUGUCUGGCACUCCCUAGUGAGAUGAACCCGGUACCUCAGAUGGAAAUGCAGAAAUCACCCAUCUUCUGCGUGGCUCAUGCUGGGAGCUGUAGACCAGAGCUGUUCCUAUUCAGCCAUCUUGGCUCCCGGAUCCAGUUUAACUUUUGCAGAGAGACAAGAUCUCUCUCCAUUGCCAACACUGGUCUCAAACUCCUGGCCUCAAGCAAUCAUCCAACCUCAGCCUUCUGAGUACCGGGAUUACAAGUGCGAGCCACUGUGCCCAGCUCCUGUUUCUACUUUCUUAAGUGAACCUGAGGAAUACCACAAAUGUGAGCAUGGCUGGAUCUUUUGAAUUAAAAUCCACACUGGGAAAGAAAUAGACCUUGAACAUCUUGCCAAAGAUUCCUCUUAGGACUCUAGAUGCACGGAGAGUGGCCAGAUUAAUACAGACUGGCAAAAGAAGAACUUGGCAAAGUGAUUUGAUCACACACUUCUCACCCUCACAUCUCCUGACAGUUCCCCUAAUCCCUGCCCCACUUCCCCGCCAUGGGCUUCCAUCAGGAAACUCCUUGAUAUCAUCUUCGAGAAGAAAACUGAGGCAUAGAACAUUUGGGAAUGAAUCUAAGACUACACAUCUAGAAUAGCAGAGGAAGGCAAUGUAUCGCAUCCUGUAUUACCUUCCCCUGACCUCAUAGCUUCCCAAAACAGGAACAAUCAUGGGCUUUGAAGUUACAGGAAUGCAGAUGUGAUUCCUAUGGAUGAGGGUAACCUAGAGGCUAGAAGAACAAUAGGACAGAAGAAGCCUGGGUCCCUGAACAACCUUGUGGAGCAUAGACACCUACGUGGCCUGGACUGCCAGCUCACAAUGGGCCUCUCUGUGAGAGAAGGAAACUUCCCUCUUGUUUAAGCAACUGUGCUUUUGAGAAUCUCUUGGUCUAUACCCUAAUGAAUAAGGCCAUCAUAAAUGGAUAUCAAAGUAAGGAAAUUUGUGUAAAUGAUUUAAUAAAACAUUACCUCAGGUAUGAAAUAAUUCUACCUUGUGCCUUGACAACAUCAGGUAUUAUUCAUGCCCUUUUCUCUCCCUGUAAUGUCUCUUAUCCACGGGUAGAAAUUAUAUUUUCCAUCUAAGGUUUGCUCAAAUAUUAUCUACUUAAGUAGCUCUUACCAAUUUUGCCUCUCCUCCUGAGCUGACCCUAUGCCUUCUAUGCUGUUCCAGGUAAUAUUAAUCUCUUCCUUUGUACUUCUUUCACAGAACAUACUUUUUUGUCUAACAUAAUAACUAUAGGCAUAAGUGUAUAGAUUCCACUAGGGGCUUCAGAACAGAAACUAUCAUCUUAUUAAUUUUUUUCUCCCUGAUAUCUAGGGAAAUAUGUUAUAUAUAAUAGGCCCUUAGUAAUCCCAUAAAUGUUUGUGAGAUAUUCACUGACUAUAAGCCAUACUCUGUAUUUAUUUAGCUAAAACAGACGUCUUUCAUAUUUAGUUAGCAGAAAAUGCUCACAUUUACUCCUUUCCUGUUUACCAAAUGAAAGGGUAAUUGUUUUUUCACAGAUUGCACUAGAAAAGUGUCUUCUCUCUCUUUUUCAAAUAGAUUGUCUUUAAAACAUAUGACAGGAAAAGUGACUAUUGUUAGGAUAAGAUAAUUACGAUUGUAACAGCUAGUUUAAAAGAAGUGUCAGUUGCUCCUGUUUUAUUUUUCACAGGAUAGAGCUGCGGCCUGUCUCAGUAUGAUGUUUUCAGGAUCUGGUAUAUAUUUUUAUUUUCCUACAUGAAUCUUUCAUCCUUUUACUGACAUUUAUUCAUUUUAUCUAAUUAUCCUAAAAGGAAAGCUCUGGCCAGGCAAAUUGGUUGUUGUCUGCCUCUGAAGAGACAUUCAUAUCGCGUCGCUUAGCUUUCAAGUUUUGUGAUCAGGAACCCUCAGGCCCAUUUUUAAGGAGGUUUCAGGCUAGCUGAGCUUCACUGUCUCCCAAAAUGUACAAAAUGAGAUUACAUGAGGGACAAGAUCAAUUUACUGGAAGGUACUUAAGCAGUAAAUCUGGAGCUUUUUGUCCAGUCACUAUUGCUUUCAAGCUUUGUAGCAGAAAAUUAAGCCACAAGAGCUUUGACAAAUUAGAUAUUACUACCUCUAAUUGUGUAUGUUUAAGCUUAUCACACUGAAUUGCAGCAUUGUAACUGACUAUUAUGCCAACAAGGCCUUCGUUUAAUCAGCGCAGUGCCAUUUAAUCGCAAUUAAUCACUCAACUAAAAUGUCAUAUUAAGGUCACAGAAACUUGAAGGGCUAAAAGAAAAGAGAACAUUAAAGUCAGCUGAUGGAGGAAAAGAGCAUGGUGUGCCAAGGGAAGUUCUGAGCACUCUUUUUCAUUAGAAGCUGGUAGAACAUUUAAUGAGAAUUCAGUCUUAACUUUCAGCUGAGAUCAGAACAACGUGCC